GAGUUGUAGGCGCAGCUCCUCCGCUGGGAGGGUGGGGAGGGAGCGCUUCGCUGGCGCCGGGAGUCCUUUCCUUGGCGUUGCAACCUGCAAGUUCCGGUUCAGCCCAGGUGAGCGCCUCCGUCGCACUGUCGUGUCGGAAUUAAAUGCCUCUGGGUUUCUCUCCACGCAUUCCCAUAGGCUCCCCUGGAGAAAGUGGGCUCUUUGUGACCUCUCAGUGCCCUUGUUCCGGCGGGAAAGCUCUGGGCAGCUGUUGCACCUGAUGAACAGCUUUGGACUCUGUGGCCCUAUAUGAAGCCUCGCCCUCCAACCCUGGUACAGCGCGAGCGCACCUUCCUCUGCCCUGGAUAAACCCGGAGUGGUCAGACUAGGUCACGGGGUGCACAGGCAGCUGCGGAAGCCCAGGGGGGCCGCCAGACCCAGCUCAGGGCUCAGGAAAAUUCACAAAGACCAGGCCUUGUCCAAGCGAAAUUCCAUAUUCUUCGCCCUAAACCCACCCCUGUCUCCGUUCAGGCCUAUCUACCGUCUCUUCCACUAAAUGCUCCGGCUUUCCUCCCACGUGUUUAAGACAGUACCUCCGACUCGUCUGGAGUUCUUUUUUCUCAUCCACUUGCCUCCCUCAACCAAGUCUCCGGAGUCCCAUCGAUUGCCUCUUAUCUCCAGAGAGCCACAAUCUACUUCUCCUCCUCUCUACUGCCUUAACUCUCCAAGGAUCCCCUGGAUAACUGUAGGAGCCUCCUGACUGUUCUGCCUGCUCCUGUCCUUGCCACCCUCCCUCUCAUCUCAGGAGCAGCCCACGGGCUUCUGUUAAAAUAUAAAUCAAAUCCUGCCAACCCGUAGCCUAAAAUCAUCCCAGGCUCCACCUUCAAAACAAAAUUCAAGCUCUUCACUUCGCAUGCCUCCAAGAUGCCAUCCCUCUGUGGUCUUCAGCCACAACUCACUCCCCAGCCAACUGGACCUGGCCAGGCCCUGCUCUUUGUGACUUAGCAUUUGCUAUUACCUUUGCAGUUAGCUUUUCUAAUGCCUGGCUCCUUAUCCUGCUCGCCUCAGCUCAAGGCCUUCUCUGAUCGCUCCAGCCUGAGAAACUCCCUCUCCUGUUUCCUCAGUCACACCAUCAAAUAGUUUUCUCAGAUUGCCUUUCAUUUUUGGAAAGCACCCUGGCCAUUUACUUGUGUAUCCAUGGCUUGGCUCUUCCUUAGAAUUGGGGCCUAGAGAGCAGCAGCCUUUCUUACCUUGUGCACUGCUGGGUUCCCAGUGCCUGGGGCAUGCUAGGAGGCACUCACUCAGUGGACAUUUGUAGACUGAGUGGAUGAAAGCUGAGACUGGAAGGUAAGGUCCAGUCACCGCAGCAUCCUGCAUUCGAUGGGUUCCGCCUGGCCAGAAGUGCAGGGGGUGGAGAAGCCCACCAGGCAUUUAUCUGGCUGAGGUUGAGGGGCCAGACCCCAAAGGGACAUAAAGGACCUCAAAUAUCCACUGGCUCAGGGUGGGGAGUCAAAUCAGGGUUUCUAUCAGGGGUGGGACAGACUCUGAUGAGGACCUCAGGAGGUGGAUUCCUGGACUAGGUUGGCUGUAGAGUUAGUGUGGAAGAUGAGUCCUGUCCUGCGGGAAGCCAUCCAUGAAAUGUGUGAGGACCUUUUCAGCAUCAUAGCCAAAGAGAGAGUAGAUCUGGCAUUGGGAACUUCCUGUGGCAGUCCCACCAGGACAGACUGCCCGAAGCAAGUGAACUCCCCCUCUGCUCUGCCAGAAGUUCCUGCGCAGCUCUGGAGAUGGGCGUAACCGCUAGGAACUGAGCAGCCUACCUGCCCCCACCUCUAUCCUGUUUUGGUGAAGAAAGCCUUUGCUGUCUUCUGAUAUAAAUAAAACAAACACAGGCUCCUUUCUUUGGUAGAAGCUGGACCUGUCUGGUCAGCUUUGCCCAUCACUGCCCACUCUUUGAAACUGUGCUCUGUGGUCAUUUCUCCGCACUAUUUUUCUUAGCUUUUCUCAGCCAGCCCAUGCCACCAAAGGGAAACCCACUCCCUCAGGCACGAUGCUGUCCUGCAGAGAUGCUAGGUGGAAGGUGGUGCUACUCUGGGAGGACAGGGAACUGAUCACUGAGAGUCACCUUCAGCCUUGGGAGCUGCACCUGGUCAGUUUGGGCACCAAGAAGAUGUGAAAGAGCCAAUGAUCUUCAGUCAGGCAUUUGGAGGUCCAGGCUGGAAACGUUAAGAUUCAGAGUCACCCAUAAGGAGAAUGAGAAGACGGGUGCUGGGGACAAUCUGAGAACCACAAAGGGGUCUCCCCAAGAGACUGAGUAGGGAGAGAAAUCCAAGGGCAGCAGAGGGAAGACUUGAUCAAGUGCUGGGGGAGAGAAGGUUUGACAGAAUGCAGUGCUCAGCUGUGACAGAUGUGCCCAAUGGUUGUGCAGGCCCUGACCUCCCUCUGUCCUUGUGAGUCCUGCACCUCCUCUCAGGCACUCUGAGCAGCCCUGGAGGGCCAGCCAGGUCGAUGAUCUCCACCGUGCCCCUCUGAUCAGGGCUGUAACAGGGGAGGCUGUGCAACUGGUCCUGAAAGGCACCCCAUCCCUCUAGAAGGGACACAACCUGAUUCUGAGUAUACUUGUUUAUUUCUCUCUGCCCCUGGUAAUCCCUAGGCCUCACCUCUUUGUGGUGCAUGAGUGCAAUUUCAGCAGCUUUUCAGGCGCCGGUGUUCUCUUUAGCCAAAUAUAACCCUCCAGCCCCUGGCCAGAAAAAGCUUCCUCUUGUGCACACCUGUGCCUGGUCCAUUACAGGCAGGGGCGCUGUCCAGGCAGCCUCCCCCCACUUCUCCCUCUGAUCCAAGGGAAGCCAACCCCACGAUGCCCGCCCUUAGGUGAGCCUCCUCCGACCACAAUGAGGGCGCGCUGCUCUGCCUUGAGGCCCAGGUGCGCCCCCUGCUACUGUGUGGCGCCAAGGUGAUGUGGGUGCCUCCGGCAGCAAGGACUCCACGGGGCUGGGCACGUGACGCACACCGCACCGGGACCUCUUGCUGCACCUCGUUGAGGUGGACGAGGGCAUCCACCACUACCCAGACGUGGUGCUGGCGGCCAGGCGGCGCGCUAGGAGCUGCCACUCACCUUCACCAUCUAUGGAGACCUGUUCUGGGGCUUGGACUAGGAACGCAGUAGCAGUUGCCGGUAGCACCACGGAGCUCCUGCUGCACCUUCUGCAAGAUGGUGUGGCACGUCUCCUGGGAGCCACGCACAUUGUGACGCGUGAGCGCCGCGUAACUGGAAGGGUGUGGUCAGGAGUUUGCGAGGAAGAAAAGGCGCCGAGAGGAAACUGGGUGCAUGCCCAAGGAGUAAAAAGGAGACCCUGCGCGUAACCUAAGAGGAGGAGCCCAAUAAAGUGAUGGCAUAUGCGCAUGCUCCAGUUUGGGGCUGGUGCCCACUGAAGAUUCUCGGAAGGAUGCGCGCCUCCCCGAGAUGGAGUAGGACAGGCUUUAAAACAUCUGAUCUUGCCCUCUUUCUUGGUCCACGCAAAUAGAGGGGUAAAGGAGCCUUCUAGGGGCUAGCGAUGGAGUUCUCUACUUAAAAAAGACAUUUUGUCAUUUUUUAAAAGGCUUUUGUGGUUUUGUG
rnacentral:lncRNA from 1 species